GGGUGGGGGGAACCCCCUGUGCUGUCGCGCUCGGCUGACCUGCGUGGUGCCCCGGAUUUACCAAAACGAGCGUGAAAAUAGGGCCAGUGGGGAGGCCCAGCAGGAGCAGCCGGGGUCCCUGCCAGUGACGACCCGGGAUCUGCUCUCUGGAGACCGGUUGCACACAUGCGGACUUCCACCCCUGUAAGACUGGAGGAAAGGGCUCUGCUACCCUGACUCACCCAGAGCCGGCCGCCUUAUGGGGACUGCAGCAAGAUGGAUGGAAAAUAUGUGCAGGAUCUGUUGUUACAAUAGACAGAAAACUGAACUGUAGUCUAUGUGUAGCUUCCGACCAAAGGAACUUCUUGAGUUAAUAUUAACUUAAGGGACUCCCUUGGGCAAAGUUACUGAUAGUGGCCAAAGGCCCUUCGGUCUGACCAUCUUCCGAGAACCAGAGCUGCUGUAAAGAGAGUUUCCUCUGCACUCUUGACUACUGCCACGUUCUCAGGUACUAGUCUACGGAGGUCCAUUGUAAAGCCAAAAAGAUGGAAAAUGUUUUGUCUUGAUGGUUUUAAUAAUAAAUCCAUUCGCUGCUUGUACAACUA